CCUACGGGAGGCUGCAGUCGAGAAUCAUUCACAAUGGGGGAAACCCUGAUGGUGCGACGCCGCGUGGGGGAAUGAAGGUCUUCGGAUUGUAAACCCCUGUCAUGUGGGAGCAAAUUAAAAAGAUAGUACCACAAGAGGAAGAGACGGCUAACUCUGUGCCAGCAGCCGCGGUACUACAGAGGUCUCAAGCGUUGUUCGGAAUCACUGGGCGUAAAGCGUUCGUAGGCUGUUUCGUAAGUCGUGUGUGAAAGGCGCGGGCGCAAACCGCAGCCGGCGAAUGAUACUGCGAGACUAGAGUAAUGGAGGGGGAACCGGAAUUCGCGGUGUAGCAGUGAAAUGCGUAGAUAUCGAGAGGAACACUCGUGGCGAAGGCGGGUUCCUGGACAUUAACUGACGCUGAGGCACGAAGGCCAGGGGAGCGAAAGGGAUUAGAUACCCUGGUAGUC
rnacentral:rRNA from 1 species